AUCGCUUCUCGGCCUUAUGGCUAAGAUCAAAGUGUAGUAUCAAAGUGGCUUUCAUUCACUAUUUUCUACAAACAGAUAAUCAGAGCAGCCGUUAGAAAUAUCUUUAUGACGCCAGUGAUGCAAAGCACCGAUCAGUAUGAACGUACAAUGUAUAUUAUCUUUUCUGUUACAAUAUGUACUACCAGAA
rnacentral:snRNA from 12 species